ensembl:misc_RNA RNaseP_nuc Nuclear RNase P
UUAAAAAAAAAAAAAAGUGGGGCUACGAGCUGAGUAUACCACGUCAUUCCACCCCCUUGUCCCUUGGGAAGGGGCCCUGAUACCAGGGCCAGUAAGUGGCCCUAACAGAGCUCUCCCUGAGUCUCAGGGAGGUAAGUUCCCACCGAGUGGAGCUCCGUGCAAGGCCAGACUGGGUAGGAGAUGCUGUCGACCCCCCACCCUGGAAGGGGCCCCGCAGAUGCCUCCUAAGCAGGAGCUUGGAACAGACUCACGAUCAGAGAAGUGAGUUUUAUGGCUGAAGUGAGGUACCCCACACAGGGGCUUCAUAACCCAAUUCAGACUAUUCUCCCCCAUCCUUUAA